rnacentral:rRNA from 1 species
UUACGGGAGGCAGCAGUAGGGAAUCUUCCACAAUGGGCGAAAGCCUGAUGGAGCAACGCCGCGUGAGUGAUGAAGGUUUUCGGAUCGUAAAACUCUGUUGUUAGGGAAGAACACCCGGGAGAGGAUCCCGGUUUGACGGUACCUGACGAGAAAGCCCCGGCUAACUACGUGCCAGCAGCCGCGGUAAUACGUAGGGGGCAAGCGUUGUCCGGAAUUAUUGGGCGUAAAGCGCGCGCAGGCGGCUUACUAAGUCUGGUGUGAAAGCCCACGGCUCAACCGUGGAGGGCCAUUGGAAACUGGUAAGCUUGAGUGCAGGAGAGGAGAGCGGAAUUCCUGGUGUAGCGGUGAAAUGCGUAGAUAUCAGGAGGAACACCCGUGGCGAAGGCGGCUCUCUGGCCUGUAACUGACGCUGAGGCGCGAAAGCGUGGGGAGCAAACAGGAUUAGAUACCCCGGUAGA